rnacentral:rRNA from 1 species
UACGUAGGGAGCAAGCGUUAUCCGGAUUUAUUGGGUGUAAAGGGUGCGUAGAAGGGAAGUCAAGUUGGUUGUGAAAUCCCUCAGCUUAACUGGGGAACUGCGUCUGAUACUGGAUGGCUUGAGAUUGGGAGAGGGAUGCGGAAUUCCAGGUGUAGCGGUGAAAUGCGUAGAUAUCUGGAGGAACACCGGUGGCGAAGGCGGCAUCCUGGACCAACACUGACACUGAGGAGCGAAAGCCAGGGGAGCAAACGGG